UGGGCAAUCUGCCCCUAGCUCUGGGAUAACUGCGGGAAACUGUAGCUAAUACCGGAUGUGACACGAGACUGCAUGGUCUUCGUGUGGAAAGAUUUAUCGGCUAGGGAUGGGCCCGCGGUCUAUCAGCUUGUUGGUGGGGUAAUGGCUCACCAAGGCGACGACGGAUAACCGGCCUGAGAGGGCGACCGGUCACACUGGGACUGAGACACGGCCCAGACU
rnacentral:rRNA from 1 species